UACGUAGGGGGCAAGCGUUGUCCGGAAUAAUUGGGCGUAAAGAGCGUGUAGGCGGCCAGAAAAGUCCGCUGUGAAAACUCGAGGCUCAACUUCGAGCUGUCGGUGGAAACUUUGUGGCUAGAGUCCGGAAGAGGAGAAUGGAAUUCCUGGUGUAGCGGUGAAAUGCGCAGAUAUCAGGAAGAACACCCGUGGCGAAGGCGGUUCUCUGGGACGGUACUGACGCUGAGACGCGAAAGCGUGGGGAGCGAACAGG
rnacentral:rRNA from 1 species